rnacentral:RNase_P_RNA from 1 species
CUGGUGGGGUACCCCCAGCCCGGCUCCCACGGGAGGAAAGUCCGAGCACCUUAGGGCAGUGUGCCGGGUAACGCCCGGUCAGGGAGACCUGGAGGCAAGUGCAACAGAGAGCAAACCGCCACGCAAGCGUCCGUUGAUCGCGCCUUCGGGUGAGUCGCGGGGAGUCGGUAUUCCGGCUUCGGUAAGGUUGAAAGGGUGCGGUAAGAGCGCACCGGCGGCCCGGGAGACCGGGUCGGCCAGGCAAACCCCACGCAGGUGCAAGGUCGAUUGGUGGACAUCAUGGGGGCGGCCCGUCCUCGUCCACGGGUGUACCGCUCGAGCCGGUUGGUAACGGCCGGCCUAGACGAAUGAUCAUCACUGGGAGGAGGGUGACCAAAUCCCGGAACAGAACUCGGCUUACGGGCCACA